AGCAGCCGCCGCGGUAAUACGAAGGGUGCAAGCGUUACUCGGAAUUACUGGGCGUAAAGCGUGCGUAGGUGGUGGUUUAAGUCCGUUGUGAAAGCCCUGGGCUCAACCUGGGAAUUGCAGUGGAUACUGGGUCACUAGAGUGUGGUAGAGGAUAGUGGAAUUUCCGGUGUAGCAGUGAAAUGCGUAGAGAUCGGAAGGAACAUCUGUGGCGAAGGCGACUAUCUGGGCCAACACUGACACUGAGGCACGAAAGCGUGGGGAGCAAACAGGAUUAGAUACCCGGGUAGUCCCUGUCUCUUAUAC
rnacentral:rRNA from 1 species